rnacentral:rRNA from 1 species
UACAUGGGGUGCAAACGUUGCUCGGAAUUACUGGGCGUAAAGGGCGCGUAGGCGGAUAGUUUAGUCAGAGGUGAAAGCCCAGGGCUCAACCUUGGAACUGCCUUUGAUACUGGCUAUCUUGAGUUCGGGAGAGGUGAGUGGAAUGCCGAGUGUAGAGGUGAAAUUCGUAGAUAUUCGGCGGAACACCAGUGGCGAAGGCGACUCACUGGCCCGAUACUGACGCUGAGGCGCGAAAGCGUGGGGAGCAAACAGG